AUUCUGCCCAAGCGGGGAAGGAUGAGAAGCUUCGACCAAGGUUCGACUCGAGCGCCAGCGAGAGAGCGUUGCCGCAGGCAACGACCCGAAGGGCGAAGCGCGCA
rnacentral:sRNA from 1 species